GACGUAGGGGGCGAGCGUUGUCCGGAGUUACUGGGCGUAAAGGGCGCGCAGGCGGUCGCGUGGGCCAUCGCGUGAAAGCCCCCGGCUCAACCGGGCGGUGGCGGGUGGGACCGCGCGGCUGGAGGGUGGUAGGGGCCAGUGGAAUUCCCGGUGUAGUGGUGAAAUGCGUAGAUACCGGGAGGAACACCCGCAGCGAAGGCGGCUGGCUGGGCCAUUCCUGACGCUGAGGCGCGAAAGCUAGGGGAGCAAACGGG
rnacentral:rRNA from 1 species